AGAGUUUGAUCAUGGCUCAGGACGAACGCUGGCGGCGCGCCUAACACAUGCAAGUCGAACGAGCGAGAGAGAGCUUGCUUUCUCGAGCGAGUGGCGAACGGGUGAGUAACGCGUGAGGAACCUGCCUCAAAGAGGGGGACAACAGUUGGAAACGACUGCUAAUACCGCAUAAGCCCACGGCUCGGCAUCGAGCAGAGGGAAAAGGAGCAAUCCGCUUUGAGAUGGCCUCGCGUCCGAUUAGCUAGUUGGUGAGGGUAACGGCCCACCAAGGCAACGAUCGGUAGCCGGACUGAGAGGUUGAACGGCCACAGUUGGGACUGAGACACGGCCCAGACUCCGUACGGGAGGCA
rnacentral:rRNA from 1 species